rnacentral:rRNA from 1 species
GAUGAACGCUGGCGGCGUGCCUAAUACAUGCAAGUCGAGCGAACAGACGAGGAGCUUGCUCCUCUGACGUUAGCGGCGGACGGGUGAGUAACACGUGGAUAACCUACCUAUAAGACUGGGAUAACUUCGGGAAACCGGAGCUAAUACCGGAUAAUAUAUUGAACCGCAUGGUUCAAUAGUGAAAGACGGUUUUGCUGUCACUUAUAGAUGGAUCCGCGCCGCAUUAGCUAGUUGGUAAGGUAACGGCUUACCAAGGCAACGAUGCGUAGCCGACCUGAGAGGGUGAUCGGCCACACUGGAACUGAGACAAGGGCCAGACUCCCACGGGAGGCAGCAGUAGGGAAACUUCCGCAAUGGGCGAAAGCCUGACGGAGCAACGCCGCGUGAGUGAUGAAGGUCUUCGGAUCGUAAAACUCUGUUAUUAGGGAAGAACAAAUGUGUAAGUAACUAUGCACGUCUUGACGGUACCUAAUCAGAAAGCCACGGCUAACUACGUG